rnacentral:rRNA from 1 species
GAUGAACGCUGGCGGCGUGCCUAAUACAUGCAAGUCGAGCGGACGGACGAGAAGCUUGCUUCUCUGAUGUUAGCGGCGGACGGGUGAGUAACACGUGGAUAACCGACCUAUAAGACUGGGAUAACUUCGGGAAACCGGAGCUAAUACCGGAUGAUAUUUUGAACCGCAUGGUUCAAAAGUGAAAGACGGUCUUGCUGUCACUUAUAGAUGGAUCCGCGCUGCAUUAGCUAGUUGGUAAGGUAACGGCUUACCAAGGAAACGAUGCAUAGCCGACCUGAGAGGGUGAUCGGCCACACUGGAACUGAGACACGGUCCAGACUCCUACGGGAGGCAGCAGUAGGGAAUCUUCCGCAAUGGGCGAAAGCCUGACGGAGCAACGCCGCGUGAGUGAUGAAGGUCUUCGGAUCGUAAAACUCUGUUAUUAGGGAAGAACAUAUGUGUAAGUAACUGUGCACAUCUUGACGGUACCUAAUCAGAAAGCCACGGCUAACUACGUG